UACGUAGGUGGCAAGCGUUGUCCGGAUUUACUGGGCGUAAAGGAUGCGUAGGCGGACUUUUAAGUGAGAUGUGAAAACCCCGGGCUCAACUUGGGGACUGCAUUUCAAACUGGAAGUCUAGAGUGCGGGAGAGGAAAGUGGAAUUCCUAGUGUAGCGGUGAAAUGCGUAGAGAUUAGGAAGAACACCAGUGGCGAAGGCGACUUUCUGGACCGUAACUGACGCUGAGGCAUGAAAGCGUGGGUAGCAAACAGG
rnacentral:rRNA from 1 species